UCCAAGAGGAAGAGGAAGCAUCACCAAGA
rnacentral:piRNA from 2 species